GAUGAACGCUGGCGGCGUGCCUAAUACAUGCAAGUCGAGCGAACAGACGAGGAGCUUGCUCCUCUGACGUUAGCGGCGGACGGGUGAGUAACACGUGGAUAACCUACCUAUAAGGCUGGGAUAACUUCGGGAAACCGGAGCUAAUACCGGAUAAUAUAUUGAACCGCAUGGUUCAAUAGUGAAAGACGGUUUUGCUGUCACUUAUAGAUGGAUCCGCGCCGCAUUAGCUAGUUGGUAAGGUAACGGCUUACCAAGGCAACGAUGCGUAGCCGACCUGAGAGGGUGAUCGGCCACACUGGAACUGAGACACGGUCCAGACUCCUACGGGAGGCAGCAGUAGGGGAUCUUCCGCAAUGGGCGAAAGCUUGACGGAGCAACGCCGCGUGAGUGAUGAAGGUCUUCGGAUCGUAAAACUCUGUUAUUAGGGAAGAACAAAUGUGUAAGUAACUAUGCACGUCUUGACGGUACCUAAUCAGAAAGCCACGGCUAACUACGUG
rnacentral:rRNA from 1 species